rnacentral:rRNA from 1 species
AUCCUACGGGGGGCAGCAGUGGGGAAUAUUGCACAAUGGGCGCAAGCCUGAUGCAGCCAUGCCGCGUGUAUGAAGAAGGCCUUCGGGUUGUAAAGUACUUUCAGCGGGGAGGAAGGGAGUAAAGUUAAUACCUUUGCUCAUUGACGUUACCCGCAGAAGAAGCACCGGCUAACUCCGUGCCAGCAGCCACGGUAAUACGGAGGGUGCAAGCGUUAAUCGGAAUUACUGGGCGUAAAGCGCACGCAGGCGGUUUGUUAAGUCAGAUGUGAAAACUCAGGGCUCAACCCUGAGCCUGCAU